GAUGAACGCUGGCGGCGUGCCUAAUACAUGCAAGUCGAGCGAACGGACGAGAAGCUUGCUUCUCUGAUGUUACCGGCGGACGGGUGAGUAACACGUGGAUAACCUACCUAUAAGACUGGGAUAACUUCGGGAAACCGGAGCUAAUACCGGAUAAUAUUUUGAACCGCAUGGUUCAAAAGUAAAAGACGGUCUUGCUGUCACUUAUAGAUGGAUCCGCGCUGCAUUAGCUAGUUGGUAAGGUAACGGCUUACCAAGGCAACGAUGCAUAGCCGACCUGAGAGGGUGAUCGGCCACACUGGAACUGAGACACGGUCCAGACUCCUACGGGAGGCAGCAGUAGGGAAUCUUCCGCAAAGGGCGAAAGCCUGACGGAGCAACGCCGCGUGAGUGAUGAAGGUCUUCGGAUCGUAAAACUCUGUUAUUAGGGAAGAACAUAUGUGUAAGUAACUGUGCACAUCCUGACGGUACCUAAUCAGAAAGCCACGGCUAACUACGUG
rnacentral:rRNA from 1 species